GCUGGGUGUGGUGGCGUGCGCCUGUAAUCCCAGCUACUCAGGAAGCUGAGGCAGGAGAAUCGCUUGAACCCGGGAGGUGGAGGUUGCAGUGAGCCGAGAUUGCGCCACUGCGCUUCAGCCUGGGCGACAGAGCGAGACUCUGUCUCCA
rnacentral:SRP_RNA from 2 species